rnacentral:rRNA from 1 species
GACGAACGCUGGCGGCGUGCUUAACACAUGCAAGUCGAACGGAAAGGCCUCUUUCGGGGGGUACUCGAGUGGCGAACGGGUGAGUAACACGUGAGUAACCUGCCCUUGACUUUGGGAUAACUUCAGGAAACUGGGGCUAAUACCGGAUAGGAGCUCCUGCUGCAUGGUGGGGGUUGGAAAGUUUCGGCGGUUGGGGAUGGACUCGCGGCUUAUCAGCUUGUUGGUGGGGUAGUGGCUUACCAAGGCUUUGACGGGUAGCCGGCCUGAGAGGGUGACCGGCCACAGUGAGACUGGGAUACGGCCCAGGCCCCGACGGGUGGGAGAGGUGGGGAAGAGUGCACAAGGGGUGGGAGCCGGAUGCAGAAACGCCCUGGGCGGGAGAACGGUGUUCGGGUUGGAGACCGAUUGCGCUCUUGACGAAGCAGUGUGUGACGGUAGUGGGUAAAGAAGCACCGGCUAACUACGUG